UAGAUUUAUUAUUAUAUCAUUACGGGUAGCAAAUAGAAUAAUGCAUGGGAGGAGGAGAUUAGGAAUUUUUUUACAAUGAUUUUAUUUAUUUGAUGAACAAAUAUUCGAUGAAUAAAGAAUUUUUUUUUUAUUUGAUGGAAAUUUUUUUAUUACAAGACGAUUAUAUAAAUAAAUAAUUAAUUACAAACAAAACACUAAAAUUCCUAAUGUCUACGAUGUCUACGAUGGCCUCCGGUGCCACAAGGUGGAGGACCUGCAUUCCUCGGAUGUCCUCGUCCAUAUAAUUCCUCUUCCGCAUUUGUAUCGUCCCUGUUAAGAAAGUUCUCGAUUUCAUUAAGACUUAACGAGGAACCUUCACCAGCAGCCCACG
rnacentral:lncRNA from 1 species